rnacentral:rRNA from 1 species
GAUGAACGCUGGCGGCGUGCCUAAUACAUGCAAGUCGAGCGAAUGGAUUAAGAGCUUGCUCUUAUGAAGUUAGCGGCGGACGGGUGAGUAACACGUGGGUAACCUGCCCAUAAGACUGGGAUAACUCCGGGAAACCGGGGCUAAUACCGGAUAACAUUUUGAACCGCAUGGUUCGAAAUUGAAAGGCGGCUUCGGCUGUCACUUAUGGAUGGACCCGCGUCGCAUUAGCUAGUUGGUGAGGUAACGACUCACCAAGGCAACGAUGCGUAGCCGCCCUGAGAGGGUGAUCGGCCACACUGGGACUGAGACACGGCCCAGACUCCUACGGGAGGCAGCAGUAGGGAAUCUUCCGCAAUGGACGAAAAUCUGACGGAGCAACGCCGCGUGAGUGAUGAAGGCUUUCGGGUCGUAAAACUCUGUUCUUAGGGAAGAACAAGUGCUAGUUGAAUAAGCUGGCACCUUGACGGUACCUAACCAGAAAGCCACGGCUAACUACGUGCCAGCCGCCGCCGUAA